GGGGAUGUAGAGGUUUUGACAUAAUGUUGAAAGGAAAACAGUUGCAGUGGGGUAUGCCCCUUACAGCUCUAGGUAUAAUAACCGACAAAAAUAACGACGAAGUUUUGGUAGAUCCAAUGUUGAUCGCUAACCAACAAGCAAGUAUCAACUACGCUUUCGCUUAGAACAUACUAAAGCUACACGAAUUGAAUCGCCAUAGUUUGGUUCGUGUCACAGUUUAUGGCUCGGGGUUAACUGGUUCAACUUAAUCCUUAAAUUAUGAACUUAUCGUUUACUUGUUUGUCUUAUGAUCUAAAGUAAGCGAGACAUUAAAACAUAAGACUAAACUGUAGAAGCUGUUUUACCAAUCCUUUAUGGAAACGGGUUCGAUUCCCGUCAUCUCCACCA
rnacentral:tmRNA from 17 species